GCACGGGUAAUAGACUGUGCUAGCGUCCCGUCUUGGCCCGACUGGUGCCAAUGUGUGUAUGCUAGUGUGCUUCUAAAGUUCGAAAGAAUUAAAAUAGAUUUCCAAUUAUAUUCCUAUUUUCAGUCCUUCUUUAGCUUUUACAGGUUUUACAGGUUUGUUAGCGGGGCCAGCGCGGCCGUAGGCCGCGCGCGGAGCCCCAUAGGUAUAGAAAUGGUCUAUAACUAGGCGACUCAGUUUUUGUGGUCAAUGACGUCGUUGUCACAAGCUGCCAGCAGUGAUCUGCCUCGGCACAGGCCUCCAGAGCGCGCAAAACAAUAUGGCGGAUGAGUAUUUUUGCCCCUCUCAAAAACACACGAAAACUGACUGCAGAAAAGCCAAGAAUUGUUGAAAAAGAAGUGCUUGAAAAAAAAAAUUCAUUCGUGGGAAUGCUAACCACGGAUAUGAAUUUGUCUAAUUAUGUGCAAAAGACUGUGUAAAAGCAUGGUUGAAAGUUUUCAAGAGUCAAGUCUCGAGUCAAGGUCAGCUGAAAUGUCAGAGGAAGCCACAAGAUAAAGAAAGAAAAAACAAGCUAAUUUUAUGGACACCUCCGACAAGUGCUCCUAUGUAUUUGUUCUUGCACUGGCAGACGUAGGUUAAUCUCAGCCAGAGAUUCUGAAAUCAAGCUGAGACACAAGCUGCUGGCUAAGAGGCAUGACCCAGAGCAGGAUGUACAUAUAAGGCAUUGGUAUUUAAUGUAGGUCACCAAAAAUAAACACAUAUAAAGUAACAAAAAGUAAGAUAAUAUUUUAAUUGAAAAAUUGUUCUAAGAAAAAUGAACCAGAGUUAUAAAAGUAAAAAACCUAGUUUUCCAAGUUAGCCUGACAGGUUCUUGUAUAAUGUGUGGUUAGUGACAUUUAGGCUAUUUAGGUUCAUAAAUAGUCUCUUUCUAUUACAAUGAAUCAUGGUAAAGUAAUUGAGGUAGUAAGUUAAUCAUAAAAAAAACAAAAACAGAUAUCCUAUAUGAUCCCUUAAGAUCCUAUUUAAAACUAUUUAGAAUUCAUUUUACCUAUUUCAAAUUAUAGGCUAAAUAGAUGCUUAUAAAAAGGAUUCUAAUUUGAUAAUUUUAGGUUAACAGGUUCAUUCUAGGUUUUUAUAUGUGGUUCUUAACUGUAUAAUAAAAUAAUGUACUCAGAAUUUUUUCAAAUAUGUUGGAGUGCUUUUAAUCCACCCUUAGCAAAGUUACAUUCUAAAGCACAAGAGAGAAGGUUAAUAAAGAUAUUUUUCCAA